GCGGGUCCGCGGGGUCCCUCUAGGUUACCAGAAAGAGGGAGUCCGCGGGUCCCUCUAGGUUACCAGAAAGAGCGGGUCCGCGGGUCCCUCUAGGUUACCAGAAAGAGCGAGUCCGCGGGUCCCUCUAGGUUACCAGAAAGAGGGUUACCAGAAAGUGGGUCCGCGGGUCCCUCUAGGUUACCAGACAGAGGGAGUCCGCGGGUCCCUCUAGGUUACCAGAAAGAGGGAGUCCGCGGGUCCCUCUAGGUUACCAGAAAGAGCGGGUCCGCGGGUCCCUCUAGGUUACCAGAAAGAGCGAGUCCGCGGGUCCCUCUAGGUUACCAGAAAGAGCGGGUCCGCGGGGUCCCUCUAGGUUACCAGAAAGAGCGGGUCCGCGGGGUCCCUUUAGGUUACCAGAAAGAGCGGGUCCGCGGGGUCCCUCUAGGUUACCAGAAAGAGCGGGUCCGCGGGGUCCCUCUAGGUUACCAGAAAGAGCGGGUCCGCGGGGUCCCUCUAGGUUACCAGAAAGAGCGGGUCCGCGGGGUCCCUCUAGGUUACCAGAAAGAGCGGGUCCGCGGGGUCCCUCCAGGUUACCAGAAAGAGCGGGUCCCUCUAGGUUACCAGACAGAGCGGGUCCGCGGGUCCCUCUAGGUUACCAGACAGAGGGAGUCCGCGGGUCCCUCUAGGUUACCAGAAAGAGCGGGUCCGCGGGUCCCUCUAGGUUACCAGAAAGAGCGAGUCCGCGGGGUCCCUCUAGGUUACCAGAAAGAGCGAGUCCGCGGGGUCCCUCUAGGUUACCAGAAAGAGCGAGUCCGCGGGGUCCCUCUAGGUUACCAGAAAGAGCGAGUCCGCGGGGUCCCUCUAGGUUACCAGAAAGAGCGAGUCCGCGGGGUCCCUCUAGGUUACCAGAAAGAGCGAGUCCGCGGGGUCCCUCUAGGUUACCAGAAAGAGCGAGUCCGCGGGGUCCCUCUAGGUUACCAGAAAGAGCGAGUCCGCGGGGUCCCUCUAGGUUACCAGAAAGAGCGAGUCCGCGGGGUCCCUCUAGGUUACCAGAAAGAGCGGGUCCGCGGGUCCCUCUAGGUUACCAGAAAGAGGGAGUCCGCGGGUCCCUCUAGGUUACCAGAAAGAGGGAGUCCGCGGGUCCUACUAGGUUACCAGAAAGAGUGGGUCCGCGGGUCCCUCUAGGUUACCAGAAAGAGCGGGUCCGCGGGUCCCUCUAGGUUACCAGACAGAGGGGGUCCGCGGGUCCCUCUAGGUUACCAGACAGAGCGGGUCCGCGGGUCCCUCUAGGUUACCAGAAAGAGCGGGUCCGCGGGGUCCCUCUAGGUUACCAGAAAGAGCGGGUCCGCGGGGUCCCUCCAGGUUACCAGAAAGAGCGGGUCCCUCUAGGUUACCAGACAGAGCGGGUCCGCGGGUCCCUCUAGGUUACCAGACAGAGGGAGUCCGCGGGUCCCUCUAGGUUACCAGAAAGAGCGGGUCCGCGGGUCCCUCUAGGUUACCAGAAAGAGCGAGUCCGCGGGGUCCCUCUAGGUUACCAGAAAGAGCGAGUCCGCGGGGUCCCUCUAGGUUACCAGAAAGAGCGAGUCCGCGGGGUCCCUCUAGGUUACCAGAAAGAGCGAGUCCGCGGGGUCCCUCUAGGUUACCAGAAAGAGCGAGUCCGCGGGGUCCCUCUAGGUUACCAGAAAGAGCGAGUCCGCGGGGUCCCUCUAGGUUACCAGAAAGAGCGAGUCCGCGGGGUCCCUCUAGGUUACCAGAAAGAGCGAGUCCGCGGGGUCCCUCUAGGUUACCAGAAAGAGCGAGUCCGCGGGGUCCCUCUAGGUUACCAGAAAGAGGGGGUCCGCGGGUCCCUCUAGGUUACCAGACAGAGGGAGUCCGCGGGUCCCUCUAGGUUACCAGAAAGAGGGAGUCCGCGGGUCCUACUAGGUUACCAGAAAGAGCGGGUCCGCGGGUCCCUCUAGGUUACCAGACAGAGCGGGUCCGCGGGUCCCUCUAGGUUACCAGAAAGAGGGGGUCCGCGGGUCCCUCUAGGUUACCAGACAGAGCGGGUCCGCGGGUCCCUCUAGGUUACCAGACAGAGCGGGUCCGCGGGUCCCUCUAGGUUACCAGACAGAGGGAGUCCGCGGGUCCCUCUAGGUUACCAGACAGAGCGGGUCCGCGGGUCCCUCUAGGUUACCAGACAGAGCGGGUCCGCGGGUCCCUCUAGGUUACCAGACAGAGUGGGUCCGCGGGUCCCUCUAGGUUAUCAGUGAGCUGUCCUGCACCUGUAGUGGUUGUGUGGUGGAGAGAAACACCUGCAUACAACACAGGAGCGCUGUGUUGCUGUGCGGUGUUCUGGUGUGUUCUGGUGUGUUCCGAGGUAAAGCCGAGCCGUGUGGCGUGUUCUGGUGUGUUCCGAGGUAAAGCCGAGCCGUGUGGCGUGUUCUCGUGUGUUCCGAGGUAAAGCCGAGCCGUGUGGCGUGUUCUCGUGUGUUCCGAGGUAAAGCCGAGCCGUGUGGCGUGUUCUCGUGUGUUCCGAGGUAAAGCCGAGCCGUGUGGCGUGUUCUCGUGUGUUCCGAGGUAAAGCCGAGCCGUGUGGCGUGUUCUGGUGUGUUCCGAGGUAAAGCCGAGCCGUGUGGCGUGUUCUCGUGUGUUCCGAGGUAAAGCCGAGCCGUGUGGCGUGUUCUGGUGUGUUCCGAGGUAAAGCCGAGCACUGUGCCGGGUGGUGUGUUUUGAGGUAAAGCGUGCCGGGUGGUGUGUUUUGACGUAAAGUCGAGCUGUAUGGUGUGUUCUGAGGUAAAGUUGAGCUGUAUUGUUGUAUCGGUUGUGUCAGGAAGUCCCUAAAAAAGCUAUUAGCAUUCCAAAUGGCAAACUCAACAUGCAGUCAUUAACAUUGACUGAACUUCGCUGAUCAUGUUUCUCUCCCCCCCCCCCAACUGAGACAACCAGGAAACUGUUACUGAGGAGGAGGAUAAGGUGCCCCAGCAGCUGUUACUGAGGAGGAGGAUAAGGUGCCCCAGCAGCUGUUACUGAGGAGGAGGAUAAGGUGCCCCAGCAGCUGUUACUGAGGAGGAGGAUAAGGUGCCCCAGCAGCUGUUACUGAGGAGGAGGAUAAGGUGCCCCAGCAGCUGUUACUGAGGAGGAGGAUAAGGUGCCCCAGCAGCUGUUACUGAGGAGGAGGAUAAGGUGCCCCAGCAGCUGUUACUGAGGAGGAGGAUAAGGUGCCCCAGCAGCUGUUACUGAGGAGGAGGAUAAGGUGCCCCAGCAGCUGUUACUGAGGAGGAGGAUAAGGUGCCCCAGCAGCUGUUACUGAGGAGGAGGAUAAGGUGCCCCAGCAGCUGUUACUGAGGAGGAGGAUAAGGUGCCCCAGCAACUGUUACUGAGGAGGAGGAUAAGGUGCCCCAGCAACUGUUACUGAGGAGGAGGAUAAGGUGCCCCAGCAGCUGUUACUGAGGAGGAGGAUAAGGUGCCCUAACAACUAUUACUGAGGAGGAGAAUAAGGUGCCCUAGCAACUGUUACUGAGGAGGAGAAUAAGGUGCCCUAACAGCUGUUACUGAGGAGGAGGAUAAGGUGCCCUAACAACUGUUACUGAGGAGGAGGAUAAGGUGCCCUAACAACUGUUACUUAGGAGGAGGAUAAGGUGCCCUAGCAACUGUUACUGAGGAGGAGAAUAAGAAAUACAGCUGUGUCUGUCCGGAGCUCACUGGCAUGGGAAACACUGAGGGACCAGCUGUGUCUGUCCGGAGCUCACAGGCAUGGGAAACACUGAGGGACCAGCUGUGUCUGUCCGGAGCUCACCGGACUGGCAUGGGAAACACUGAGGGACCAGCUGUGUCUGUCCAGAGCUCACUGGCAUGGGAAACACUGAGGGACCAGCUGCGUCUGUCCGGAGCUCACCGGACUGGCAUGGGAAACACUGAGGGACCAGCUGUGUCUGUCCAGAGCUCACUGGCAUGGGAAACACUGAGGGAACAGCUGUGUCUGUCCGGAGCUCACUGGCAUGGGAAACACUGAGGGAACAGCUGUGUCUGUCCGGAGCUCACUGGCAUGGGAAACACUGAGGGACCCGAAUAGUUGAGACAAUGUUGCAAGGCCGGACCCAGUUGAGACAAUGUUGCAAGGCCGGACCCAGUUGAGACAAUGUUGCAAGGCCGGACCCAGUUGAGACAAUGUUGCAAGGCCGGACCCAGUUGAGACAAGUUUGAUAAACAUGAACAAUCCUCCAUGCGUAGCCAAUGUAACUUACAGGAUAUUUUCUACCUGCAAUGUUUUUAUUUGUUGUCUUCAUUUAAACUUCUUUUACCUAGUUGGCCAUAGAACAAAAGUAAUGUCAACAAAGCUGUUCAAUAAAAAAAAAGUGCAUAUGAAAAUCCUAA